UUGUAUACUUCUACUUUUUAUACAUUCAGUAGGUUUGAACGGUAGCCUCCCGGAACUACUUUACUACCGUAGGCUUAAACACCUUACCAAGCUCUAACGAACGUUUCUUCUAGGGUUAAGACUACUCCUGAACACCUUAAAUCGAUUACCUACGUCGAGAUCUCGGAUAAGGAUAUCGAGGAUACUACACUUACCGAAAGCGAAAUCUAGUCUCUAUAGACUCUUUUUUGCAUCUUCCAACUUUUGCCACUUGUGUCCCCAAACAAACAGUAGGAAGUAGAGUCUCUGACUUGUUGAACUCAUGAUACCACAGUAACUCCUUUAAUAGUUUCAUAGGAAGUGUCGACCAUCUUUUUAACUCUACCAUGAGAAGUUUACGGCAACCAAACUGGGGUAGUUCCCACACUUCGGUUUACGUUUUAAUCCAAACCACCUCUAUUUCACCAGAAGUUCCGAUUCAUUAAAACUUGGUAAACGGUACCGAGUGGUUCGAUGCGUUCGAAUAAUGAACGUAAUGCGUAGGAGGUCCUCUCUAGAAGCACUAACCUCCCAACAAAUGUGAUAAGUCGGUUCAUGGUCGAACUCAUUGAAACUACUGACGCGUUUACUGGGUAGAUGAUGUCUACUUAUAAAGGUCCUUCCACCAGUCGACCCAUCAAAAAGACAUCUACCACCGUUUAAACAACUACUUAGAUGACUCGGUUCUUUCCUCAGUCUACUACACCUCGAACUAGGGAGACUUUAAAUACAUUAUCUUUUAGUUCCGUUAUUAAUACUCCCUCUUCUUAGAAGUCUUCUACUUAACCUGCUCUCAUGACUACUCCUUCUUCUUCUAAAUGGACUUCUCCUUCCUGUUCUUCUCUGUAUACUCUGGCUUCUACUCCUACUACGUUAUCUCGUACUGAGACUUAUACUGCUACUACUAAUGAGUUGUAAAUAUCGAAAACGUGAACAGUAAAAGACAGAACCAUGGUUAUUUAUAAUAUAUCACCGUGUUGAUCACUUAUUAUAUCAUACAAAUGAUAACCAUCAUUAUGUAUAAUGUAUCACUAAAUCACUGUGUUGAUAACUUAUUAUAUAAUACAAACUAUCAUAAAGAUCAAAUCAACAAUGUAUUACAAAAGACAACAAGAGAAGAAGAUGAUAGUACGGAAACCAUUAGUAGAUGAUUAAUAAAAAAUACACCGAUUAUUCUUACGUAAACAGUGAUACAUUUAUCCUACUGGGCGAACGUAGUAUCCGCACAGAGUUACCGAUCCAGCUUGUCCAGAAGAAGAUCACGGAGGCAUCCUUUGUUACCUAGUUGAGUCAGUUGACAUGUCCGAUUUUUCGGAUCUUGUGGUUCUUGAUCCUGAAGUCGGCCAGAGUCUGAUCUCCUUUAACUGGCUGGCGAAUAUCAAGGGCAACCGUACCGUACCCUUUCCGUGGGUAUGUUGCGAGCACUAGGUAGUUGCGACGAUCCACGGAAUCACGCGGUCUACAUAGGUGGCGGUUAACCAGGUUUUUUACUGGUCUUUGGCCAUAACACAACCCUCCUGAUGUUCACCAGGGGACCAGGUCUUCAUUCUUGUCGUCGAAGGUUUUAUCACCUUCUUAAAACCACCGCAAAGUUCACACUGGGUAGCCUCGUUCUCUUCCGUCUACCACAAAACCUCCUCUUGAAUUGAUCCUUUCACUUCGUCUACGAUGUACUCCUUUUCCGUCGUCGGUAGUUUUCUAAUUUCUUCUUCCCUGUUAACGGAUGUCUUGAUUGUCUUCUCCUACUCCUACCAUUGGCGACCGGUUGAUUCCUUCGAAAUUAACGACGUUUCUCUCAACUGAAACCAUGUCUGCAACCAACCGCAGAUGAUACACUCGUGACCUCAUCAUGACUUAAAUCUCCCAAUAGAAAUUGGUUGUUUUCCUUGUCUGAACGAUUACCCCUGUGCCAGAAGGUAACGUCACCACGAUCUUUACAACAGCGGUGUGCAGUUAAAGACUUUGAGUUUUGGCCCUUUCUGGGACCUUAAAGACCACGAACCGAAGUGUGCGUGUUUAACGUAGCUCCCUGAUUACUUCUCGUCUAUACGUCAGUUUCUUGACGACUAGUAACCCUCCUAAAACUAUUCCGUUACUUUUUACGGGUACCUCUUUUAACCCUUCUCCUCGUGGGCCUAAAUCUACCUGUUUAGUAGAUGCUUCGUCGUCCGUCUUACGGUGUACCGUCCGACCCUUAACGAUUACUCAACAAAUCGUUUCGUAUCUUCCGCUUCAAAUUCAGAUUUUCCCGCUACCGGAGUGUCGGCCACGUUAGACGAUUCCUCCUCGCAGAUCUUUCUCUUUUGUUUAUAAACUUCGUCCUCUAGUUCGCAGAAGCUCCGUAACUCGAACAACAAGUCAGAAACCGACUCUUUCCCCCUCAGCUGAAACUACCGUAUUACGUUAGUCGUUGUCUACUGAACAGAGGUAGUAUAAGACUUCCGCCUAAAGUUUCCCCUGCUCCACUACACGGAGUUGUGGUUUGGCUUUUCCCUUACCCUUCGUCCUGACCUCCGUCAUGCUCAGUACCUUUACUACUACUCCUGCUGCUGAUACCGUUACCCCCUAUACCAUUGAUACCGCUCCCACUAGACAUACCACUACUCGUGAUACUAGUGAUACCACUACCCCUUAUACUACUGAUACCUCUACUCCUACUGAUACCGAUACCGAUACCGCCACCGCUACCGCUACUACUACUAACCGAUAUUUUAGAUUACUAGAAGUUCAGUACAGUUUUACAUCAACACAAUCUAUAAACUUUGUGAAAUAAUAGAAUACCUGUUUAAACAGAAUCACCUGUUAAAUAGAAUACGUUUUACACCGGAUAGAGUCAAUGAUAAAACAAGACGUAAGCUGUAAACUAUUAAUACCAAUUACGUUAAACCUACGUUGAGUUAUGGAACACGAACACAU
rnacentral:rRNA from 1 species